GGGUGNGGCCUACNNGNCGACGACGGGUAGCUCGGCCUGANAGGGUGACCGGCCACACUGGGACUGAGACUCGGCCCAGACUCCUACGGGAGGCAGCAGUGGGGAAUAUUGCACAAUGGGCGGAAGCCUGAUGCAGCGACGCCGCGUGAGGGAUGACGGCCUUCGGGUUGUAAACCUCUUUCAGCAGGGACGAAGGAGAGUGACGGUACCUGCAGAAGAAGCGCCGGCCAACUACGUGCCAGCAGCCGCGGUAAGACGUAGGGCGCGAGCGUUGUCCGGAUUUAUUGGGCGUAAAGAGCUCGUAGGCGGCUUGUCGCGUCGUCCGUGAAAACCUGGGGCUCAACUCCAGGCUUGCGGGCGAUACGGGCAGGCUAGAGUUCGGUAGGGGAGACUGGAAUUCCUGGUGUAGCGGUGAAAUGCGCAGAUAUCAGGAGGAACACCGGUGGCGAAGGCGGGUCUCUGGGCCGAUACUGACGCUGAGGAGCGAAAGCGUGGGGAGCGAACAGGAUUAGAUACCCUGGUAGUCCACGCUGUAAACGUUGGGCGCUAGGUGUGGGGGGCCUCUCCGGUUCUCUGUGCCGCANCUAACGCAUUAAGCGCCCNGCCUGGGGAGUACGGCCGCAAGGCUAAAACUCAAA
rnacentral:rRNA from 1 species